rnacentral:rRNA from 1 species
CCUACGGGUGGCAGCAGUGGGGAAUAUUGGACAAUGGGGGGAACCCUGAUCCAGCCAUGCCGCGUGUGUGAAGAAGGCCCUCGGGUUGUAAAGCACUUUCAGUGAGGAAGAACGCCUGGUGGUUAAUACCCAUCAGGAAAGACAUCACUCACAGAAGAAGCACCGGCUAACUCCGUGCCAGCAGCCGCGGUAAUACGGAGGGUGCGAGCGUUAAUCGGAAUUACUGGGCGUAAAGCGCGCGUAGGUGGCUUGAUAAGCCGGUUGUGAAAGCCCCGGGCUCAACCUGGGAACGGCAUCCGGAACUGUCAAGCUAGAGUGCAGGAGAGGAAGGUAGAAUUCCCGGUGUAGCGGUGAAAUGCGUAGAGAUCGGGAGGAAUACCAGUGGCGAAGGCGGCCUUCUGGACUGAUACUGACACUGAGGUGCGAAAGCGUGGGUAGCAAACAGGAUUAGAUACCCGAGUAGUC